rnacentral:rRNA from 1 species
GACGAACGCUGGCGGCGUGCUUAACACAUGCAAGUCGAACGGUAAGGCCCUUCGGGGUACACGAGUGGCGAACGGGUGAGUAACACGUGGGUGAUCUGCCCUGCACUUCGGGAUAAGCCUGGGAAACUGGGUCUAAUACCGGAUAGGACUCCGGACUGCAUGGUCUGGGGUGGAAAGCUUUUGCGGUGUGGGAUGGGCCCGCGGCCUAUCAGCUGGUUGGUGGGGUGAUGGCCUACCAAGGCGACGACGGGUAGCCGGCCUGAGAGGGUGACCGGCCCCACUGGGACUGAGAUACGGCCCAGACUCCUACGGGAGGCAGCAGUGGGGAAUGUUGCGCAAUGGGCGCAAGCCUGAUGCAGCGACGCCGCGUGAGGGAUGACGGCCUUCGGGUUGUAAACCUCUUUCAGCAUCGACGAAGCGAAAGUGACGGUAGGUGCAGAAGAAGGACCGGCCAACUACGUGCCAGCAGCCGCCGUAA